UACAGAGGUCCCGAGCGUUGUUCGGAUUCAUUGGGCGUAAAGGGCGCGUAGGCGGCUCAUGAAGGCUGUGGUGAAAGUCCGGGGCUCAACCUCGGAUCGGCCGUGGCGACUCGUGGGCUGGAGCACUGUAGAGGCGGGUGGAAUUCCGGGUGUAGCGGUGGAAUGCGUAGAGAUCCGGAAGAACACCAGUGGCGAAGGCGGCCCGCUGGGCAGUGGCUGACGCUGAGGCGCGACAGCGUGGGGAGCAAACAGG
rnacentral:rRNA from 1 species